AUGAACGCUAGCUACAGGCUUAACACAUGCAAGUCGAGGGGCAGCAUUUUAGUUUGCUUGCAAACUGAAGAUGGCGACCGGCGCACGGGUGAGUAACACGUAUCCAACCUACCGAUAACUCCGGAAUAGCCUUUCGAAAGAAAGAUUAAUACCGGAUAGCAUACGAAUAUCGCAUGAUAUUUUUAUUAAAGAAUUUCGGUUAUCGAUGGGGAUGCGUUCCAUUAGUUUGUUGGCGGGGUAACGGCCCACCAAGACUACGAUGGAUAGGGGUUCUGAGAGGAAGGUCCCCCACAUUGGAACUGAGACACGGUCCAAACUCCUACGGGAGGCAGCAGUGAGGAAUAUUGGUCAAUGGGCGAGAGCCUGAACCAGCCAAGUAGCGUGAAGGAUGAAGGCUCUAUGGGUCGUAAACUUCUUUUAUAUGGGAAUAAAGUUUUCCACGUGUGGAAUUUUGUAUGUACCAUAUGAAUAAGGAUCGGCUAACUCCGUGCCAGCAGCCGCGGUAAUACGGAGGAUCCGAGCGUUAUCCGGAUUUAUUGGGUUUAAAGGGAGCGUAGGUGGAUUGUUAAGUCAGUUGUGAAAGUUUGCGGCUCAACCGUAAAAUUGCAGUUGAAACUGGCAGUCUUGAGUACAGUAGAGGUGGGCGGAAUUCGUGGUGUAGCGGUGAAAUGCUUAGAUAUCACGAAGAACUCCGAUUGCGAAGGCAGCUCACUAGACUGUCACUGACACUGAUGCUCGAAAGUGUGGGUAUCAAACAGGAUUAGAUACCCUGGUAGUCCACACAGUAAACGAUGAAUACUCGCUGUUUGCGAUAUACAGUAAGCGGCCAAGCGAAAGCAUUAAGUAUUCCACCUGGGGAGUACGCCGGCAACGGUGAAACUCAAAGGAAUUGACGGGGGCCCGCACAAGCGGAGGAACAUGUGGUUUAAUUCGAUGAUACGCGAGGAACCUUACCCGGGCUUGAAUUGCAACUGAAUGAUGUGGAGACAUGUCAGCCGCAAGGCAGUUGUGAAGGUGCUGCAUGGUUGUCGUCAGCUCGUGCCGUGAGGUGUCGGCUUAAGUGCCAUAACGAGCGCAACCCUUAUCUUUAGUUACUAACAGGUUAUGCUGAGGACUCUAGAGAGACUGCCGUCGUAAGAUGUGAGGAAGGUGGGGAUGACGUCAAAUCAGCACGGCCCUUACGUCCGGGGCUACACACGUGUUACAAUGGGGGGUACAGAAGGCGGCUACCUGGUGACAGGAUGCUAAUCCCAAAAACCUCUCUCAGUUCGGAUCGAAGUCUGCAACCCGACUUCGUGAAGCUGGAUUCGCUAGUAAUCGCGCAUCAGCCAUGGCGCGGUGAAUACGUUCCCGGGCCUUGUACACACCGCCCGUCAAGCCAUGAAAGCCGGGGGUACCUGAAGUACGUAACCGCAAGGAGCGUCCUAGGGUAAGACUGGUAAUUGGGGCU
rnacentral:rRNA from 1 species